GCCCCAGGGUGCUGAGAGGUCCCUUCUAGGAACCAAGUGUCCAGCACCGUCUGUGUAGAUGUUUCCUCUAAAGCCUGCCAGGGGAGGGGUCAGCACAGGCACGGUCCAGUGUGGCGCACGGGGUGCUUUUGAUGCCCUACCCCAGCCCCGGGAACGAGCAGCCCCUCCUCCCUGCAGCUACAGUUCUUGCCCCUCUCAGCCCUUGUGUGGGGAGCCCACUGAGGCACUCCAUCCCCACUGUGGCUGCGGCUUUCCUUCCUGUAAAAACUGUUCAGCGGGGGGCUUGGACCAGAAGAGUGGUUUCCAGUCCGUGCCUAGGAGUCUGCUUGCUGGUGAUGUGCUGCUGGAUGUGGGAUGCCUUAGCACUUCUGGCUAACAUGGGGCUAAAAUGUGUUUGAAGACCCCUCAGCUGGAAAGUCUGGAGGUUCUGGGGCCCAGAGCCUGGUGAUAGGUCCUCUGCUCACUUGGAUGGAUGAGGCCUUGCUGCCCAAGACCCACCCCAGGGCCUGGACUGGCUUUACCUCUCCUUCUGGGCCCUAUGCCUGCGCAGGACAGGCUCCUGCCUCCCUGAACUGCCCCAGGGGCCCUGGCCUCAGUGGUAAGAGUGUGUGUUUUGGGUGGCCGGUGGGGUCGCAGGCAUGGUCUCCAGCAUAAAGGAGGAGCCAGAGGGAUCCACUCCCUCCUGAGACCUGCCGUGAAUGUUCUAUUCCUCCUAUAGUGUUGGAAGGUGGUUACCACUCACCAAGUACUUCCUGGGUUCCAGGCACUGAGCCCCAUGGAUACUUGACAUAGUUUGGAUGGAGAAGAAGCUGCUAUGUUCCCAUUUGAUAGAGUAAAACACACAUUCAGAAAAAUGAGCCACAUGCAAGUGUGCAGCCUAACAAAUUGCUAUGAAGUGAACAUUUUUACGAUCCCAUCAAGAGAGCCUCUCUGGCACCCGUGUGCCCUCCCCAUCACAGCACCACUCUCCCGGUCUCAUCGGCAGCCCCUGCCCUGGCUUUGGUGAGGCUCAUGUUCUUGUUUUGCGAUAAAGCCUUCACCACUCAAUUGUACAUCCACUGCAGCGGUUUCCUGUUUUUGUAUUUUAUGUGAAUGGAAUCCUACAGAUGAAGCUUUGACAUCUGGCUUCUCUUGCUUGUCAUGUCUUUGAGAUUUGUCCGUGUUGCUGGGCGCAGCUGUAGUUCCUGUUCGUUGCUGAAAACCAUUCCAUUAUAUAAGUGUAUCGGUUCACGGUCCAUUUUAUCGUUGACGGACAUUUGGUUUGCUUCCAGUGUGGGGCAGUCCCAGACAAUGCUGCUAGCGACAAUUUUAUCCAUGUUUCAUGAGUUUCUCUAGGGUUAUGCACCCAGGAGGCUGACUGCUGGGUUCUAGGGCAUCAGAACCUUUUACUCUCUUCCAGGAAUUUUAUUGUUCCAGUUUUCACUCCCACCAGCAGGAAAAAAGAUAGUUCCCUUGGUUCCACAUCAUUGCUGACACUUGGUAUUGUCAGGUUUUGUUUUUUGUCAAUCUGGUGGGUGUAUAAUUAUGGCUUUAAUUUGCAUUUAGCUGAUUAUUAGUGGGCUUGAGCAUAUUUUCAUGUGUUUAUUAACCAUUGUGACUUGUCUCCUGUGAAGUGUCUAUCUAAAUGUUUUGCACAUU